AACAAGUUAGCGGCGGACGGGUGAGUAACACGUGGGUAACCUGCCUGUAAGAUGGGGAUAACUCCGGGAAACCGGAGCUAAUACCGAAUAACACUUUCGCUCGCAUGAGCGGAUGUUAAAAGACGGUUUCGGCUGUCACUUACAGAUGGACCCGCGGCGCAUUAGCUAGUUGGUGAGGUAACGGCUCACCAAGGCGACGAUGCGUAGCCGACCUGAGAGGGUGAUCGGCCACACUGGGACUGAGACACGGCCCAGACUCCUACGGGAGGCAGCAGUAGGGAAUCUUCCGCAAUGGACGAAAGUCUGACGGAGCAACGCCGCGUGAGUGAUGAAGGUUUUCGGAUCGUAAAACUCUGUUGUUAGGGAAGAACAAGUAUGAGAGUAACUGCUCGUACCUUGACGGUACCUAACCAGAAAGCCACGGCUAACUACGUGCCAGCAGCCGCGGUAAUACGUAGGUGGCAAGCGUUGUCCGGAAUUAUUGGGCGUAAAGCGCGCGCAGGCGGUUCCUUAAGUCUGAUGUGAAAGCCCACGGCUCAACCGUGGAGGGUCAUUGGAAACUGGGGAACUUGAGUGCAGAAGAGGAAAGCGGAAUUCCACGUGUAGCGGUGAAAUGCGUAGAGAUGUGGAGGAACACCAGUGGCGAAGGCGGCUUUCUGGUCUGUAACUGACGCUGAGGCGCGAAAGCGUGGGGAGCAAACAGGAUUAGA
rnacentral:rRNA from 2 species